rnacentral:rRNA from 1 species
UACGUAGGGGGCAAGCGUUGUCCGGAUUUAUUGGGCGUAAAGAGCGUGUAGGCGGCCAUACAGGUCCGUUGUGAAAACUGGAGGCUUAACCUCCAGACGUCGAUGGAAACCGUAUGGCUAGAGUCCGGAAGAGGAGAGUGGAAUUCCUGGAUGUAGCGGUGAAAUGCGCAGAUAUCAGGAAGAACACCCGUGGCGAAGGCGGCUCUCUGGGACGGUACUGACGCUGAGACGCGAAAGCGUGGGGAGCGAACAGG